AAAGAGUUAAAUAAUUAUAAAAGUUAUUGUUUCAUAAACAUUUUAAAUAAUUAUUUUGAAAUGAAAUGUUAUUCGUUUUUAAAUAUAUCUAGUUUUUUUAGAAAAAAAUUUAAUUUAAAAUUAAUUUUAAUAAAUGUAUUAAUUAAUUAAUAUUAUUUAUUUAUUUAAUUUUAUAAUUUAAGGGAUAAGCUUUAAGUUAAAUUUUUAUAAUAAAAAAUAUUUUAUUUGAAAAUUUUAUAAUUUAUAUUGUUAAUAAAUUUUAUUUUAUUAUAAAUAAUUUCAUUUUAAAUAAAAUUUAAAAUUUAUAUUUAAUUUUAUAUAAAAAUUUUAAUUUUUAAUUUUAAAAAAUUAAUAAUAAUGAUAAAAUUAGUAUAUUUUUAUUUGUAAAAAAUUAUUUAAUUUUAAAAUAUUAUAAAUAAUUAAAUUAAUUAAAAGGAAUUCGGCAAAUAUUUAUUUUCACUUGUUUAUCAAAAACAUGUCUUUUUGAAAUUAAUUUAAAGUCUAAUCUGCCCACUGAUUUUUUAUUAAAGGGCUGCAGUAUUUUGACUGUACAAAGGUAGCAUAAUCAUUAGUCUCUUAAUUGGUGACUUGUAUGAAAGAUUGAAUGAAAAAUAUACUGUCUCUUAAUUAAUUUAUAGAAUUUAAUUUUUUAUUUAAAAAGUUAAAAUAAUAUAAAAAGACGAGAAGACCCUAUAGAGUUUUAUAAAUUAUUUUUAUAAAUUAAAUUAUAUGUAAAAUUGAAAAUUUUUAUUAAUUUAUUUAUUUUAUUGGGGUGAUAUAAAAAUAAAUAAAACUUUUUAAAAAUUUAACAUAAAUAAAUGAUUAAUUGAUCCAAUUUUCUUGAUUAUAAGAUUAAAUUACCUUAGGGAUAACAGCGUAAUUUUUUUUUUUAGUUCGAAUAAUAAAAAAAGUUUGCGACCUCGAUGUUGGAUUAAGAUAAAAUUUAAAUGCAAAAGUUUAAAAUUUUUG
rnacentral:rRNA from 1 species